GUGUGGCGGCAUUCACUGUGGUCUGUUUCCUCCUCUGAUCCCUUCCCCUCCACUGCUGGUUCCUUCUAGCUCCUUCCUCUAAAGCCGGAAUGAACUUUUAUUGGAAGGGAGGAACCCAGGUGUUAGGGACAGACCUCACCCUAAAGACAGGGAAGCCUCAGAACAAGAAGCGGGUGAAAGGGAAUGCCAGAUCCUUGUCCAAAACCAGCCCGCAGAAGCCUGGGGUGGGGGGAGCAGCCCCUGCCUCUCUGUGAGGGGCUGUCGCUUGGUGGGCAGAGCCCAGAGGCUUUUCACCCAAGCACAGAGCUCGUGGGCUUAGACCCUGACGCGGGAGGUCAACCCUCCGGUGCCCUCCUGCUGAGGGCUUCUCGCCGUCUUGGGGAAUGCGGAUCUGCCUAUUAGAUGGCAGGUGUUGGCUCACCUGAGCUGCCCCCAGAGCUGGGCUGAGGACAGGGGCAGUGAGGUUCCCCGGGGUCCCCUCCCCAGGCCCAAGUCCAUGAGCUACAGCUCCCAAGAUGCAGACAGGAGGAAGUCGAGUGCUCUCGAUCCAAUGGGGCCCGGCCUUUGGGGCUGGGGGCCAUCACGUGCCUUGCAGCCCCUUAGUCCCCAGGGGCAGAGACAGGAGAAGCUGUCAGAGCCAGGAAGUGUGCGUGCGAAUAUCACUCGCUUCUGGUGUCACCCUUACCCCCACCCCCACCGCUGCUUGCCGCCUGCCCUGCCCUCUGCAGUAGAGGGGGGUGGCAGUCAUGCCCAGUGUUGCUGCAGUGUCAUGGAGCCAUGGCCGCGGUGCACCGGCCUUAGGACAAGAGAAGGGGGAGCAACCAGGCCGGGGGCUGAGGGCCAAGUGACUGCCAUGCUCCCCUCCCCCAGAACUGCCCAGCCUGGGGCCGCCUCCACUCUCCGGGUGGGAGAAAGGUGUUCUCAAGAGGAGGGCGAGCCCUGGGCCGGAGAAGCAUUUUUCCUCCUCCAACCACCUUCUGACUGGCGGUGCCCCCCUCAGGGACAGGUCCCCGGCUCGCUGACCUGUCCCCACCUCUGCACUGACCUUGGCGACAUGCUGAGGCCCAGCGUGGUGUUCUCUCUCAUCUGAAUCAACGGUGACAUGUGAUUUUUAUUUCUGCCCCGAGGGGUCAGGAAGAGUCUUCUGGAAGGUUUUGCCUUGGACAUUCAUAAUCGAGCUCAGAGGCCUUGCCCUGCCCUUCCGUCCCUGCCCCCAAUCACUGCAGUGUCCAGCCCAGUGUUGAACAGAUUGUAGUGUUUUGUCUCAUUACAAAUAAACAGACUUUAAUUGGUCA